rnacentral:tRNA from 1 species
GCAAAAACGGCAGAUGAGUGCAUUAGACUUAGGCUCUAAAUAUAAAGGCUAGUUCUUUUUUUUGCA